UACUGGUGGUUUCCAUGCGUUAGCCUUGC
rnacentral:sRNA from 1 species